rnacentral:rRNA from 1 species
CAGUCGCCGCGGUAAUACGUAGGUCCCGAGCGUUGUCCGGAUUUAUUGGGCGUAAAGGGAGCGCAGGCGGUUUAGUAAGUCUGAAGUUAAAGGCAUUGGCUCAACCAAUGUAUGCUUUGGAAACUGUUAGACUUGAGUGCAGAAGGGGAGAGUGGAAUUCCAUGUGUAGCGGUGAAAUGCGUAGAUAUAUGGAGGAACACCGGUGGCGAAAGCGGCUCUCUGGUCUGUCACUGACGCUGAGGCUCGAAAGCGUGGGUAGCGAACAGGAUUAGAUACCCGAGUAGUCCCUGUCUCUUAUACC